rnacentral:rRNA from 1 species
CCGAGUGGUUGGGACGAUUAUUGGGCCUACAGCAUCCGUAGCCGGUCCUACAAGUCUUCCGUUAAAUCCACCUGCUUAACAGAUGGGCUGCGGAAGAUACUAUAGGGCUAGGAGGCGGGAGAGGCAAGCGGUACUCAGUGGGUAGGGGUAAAAUCCUCUGAUCCAUUGAAGACCACCAGUGGCGAAGGCGGCUUGCCAGAACGCGCUCGACGGUGAGGGAUGAAAGCUGGGGGAGCAAACCGG